rnacentral:rRNA from 1 species
UACGGAGGGUGCGAGCGUUGUCCGGAAUCACUGGGCGUAAAGGGCGCGUAGGCGGCUCAUGAAGUCUGUGGUGAAAGUCCGGGGCUCAACCUCGGAUCGGCCGUGGCGACUCGUGGGCUGGAGCACUGUAGAGGCGGGUGGAAUUCCGGGUGUAGCGGUGGAAUGCGUAGAGAUCCGGAAGAACACCAGUGGCGAAGGCGGCCCGCUGGGCAGUGGCUGACGCUGAAGCGCGACAGCGUGGGGAGCAAACAGG